GCCAGUGUGGUCUAAUAGUUUGAGCGUUGGAAUACAACUCUGGAGACCAGGGUUCGAUUCCCAGCUUGGCCA